rnacentral:misc_RNA from 1 species
CAGAAGAUGACAACAGCGUCCAGGGCGAGCUCCAACACAGGGACACGAUGAAAGGAGAUCCUGGGCGCAAGUUAGGCGACCGCGGCGCGCAGGGAAAAAACUAAAGCAGCAGCUGCGGCGAGAUGGACAGGGGCGCUGCUGGGAGAAGGGGCUUGGGCGAGCUGGAACGCGGCUAGGGCACCGCUCGCGAGCAGAGAAGCCAAAGCGGCUGGGCUGAACAGAGGGAGCAGGGGCGCUGCGGCAUGGCGAGUGCGCUAGGAAACUCUGGCCGCGAGCAGAGCAGAGGGAUGCGCGAGGGAGCAGAGAGCUUCGGCGAGCUGAAAAAUACCGCGCGCAGGGAGCACGGCUGGAGAGGAAGCGCGCUGGCUGGGGAUGAAGAUCCGAGCGCAGGGGCUGAGGGAGGAAGGAGAGGGCUUGGGCUGGACGCCGGCAGGGGAGCAGGCGAUGGCCGGCGUUGGGACAGGGCACGUGCGGUUCAGAGUAAAACUGGAGCAGGAUACGACGCGCACAGGGAACCGCUCGUCCGGCGCCAUGGGGGAUCCGACCUGAUGCUGGAGACGGAGAUGAGAGGAAGGAGCAGGUGGCGCGCAGAGCAAGGAAGCAGAAGGGCGGCCGACGCUGGGGCUCUGAGCACCACGCGAGGAGCUCGGCCGUCCGCAGUUGGAGGAAGAAGGAGUGCGCGUGGGAGGAGCAGAGAUGGACGUGAGCGCAGGGAUAAGAACAGCGCUGCAACAAAGAUCUGAUGGGGAGGGCGGUCAGGAAAAGAAAAAAAU